rnacentral:rRNA from 1 species
ACGAAGGGGGCUAGCGUUGUUCGGAAUUACUGGGCGUAAAGCGCGCGUAGGCGGUGAUCCAUGUCAGGGGUGAAAUCCCGGAGCUCAACUCCGGAAUUGCCUUUGAAACGGGAUCGCUAGAGUCCGAGAGAGGAUGGCGGAAUUCCUAGUGUAGAGGUGAAAUUCGUAGAUAUUAGGAAGAACACCAGUGGCGAAGGCGGCCAUCUGGCUCGGUACUGACGCUCAGGCGCGAAAGCGUGGGGAGCAAACAGG